GUCGAGCGGUUUUAUAGAAGCUUGCUUCUAUAAGAUAGCGGCGGACGGGUGAGUAACACGUGGGUAACCUGCCUUACACAAAGGAAUAACAAUGAGAAAUCAUUGCUAAAACCUUAUAAGCUCCCACCAUCGCAUGAUGGAGAGAGAAAAUAUUUAUAGGUGUAAGAGGGGCCCGCGUCUGAUUAGCUAGUUGGUAGGGUAACGGCCUACCAAGGCGACGAUCAGUAGCCGACCUGAGAGGGUGACCGGCCACAUUGGGACUGAGACACGGCCCAAACUCCUACGGGAGGCAGCAGUGGGGAAUAUUGCACAAUGGGGGAAACCCUGAUGCAGCAACGCCGCGUGAAGGAUGAAGGCUUUCGAGUUGUAAACUUCUUUAGGCGGGGAAGAAACAAUGACGGUACCCGCAGAAUAAGCCCCGGCUAACUACGUGCCAGCAGCCGCGGUAAUACGUAGGGGGCAAGCGUUAUCCGGAAUUACUGGGUGUAAAGGGUGAGUAGGCGGUAAGGUAAGUCAUAUGUGAAAGCCCAGGGCUCAACCCUGGGAUUGCAUAAGAAACUGCCAGACUAGAGUACAGGAGAGGUAAGCGGAAUUCCUAGUGUAGCGGUGAAAUGCGUAGAUAUUAGGAAGAACACCAGUGGCGAAGGCGGCUUACUGGACUGAAACUGACGCUGAGUCACGAAAGCGUG
rnacentral:rRNA from 1 species